rnacentral:lncRNA from 1 species
AGCCACAUCCCGAAUUCCCGAUCUCUGGGGAAAAUCGUGCGCCCUGAAAGCAAAAAUUGAUUACAUUAUGUACUUUUUUCUUAACAAAAAAGAACAUUGUGUUUUUCAAUGCAGAUGAACAAAGAAUCCAGUUCAUAUAUACAAACAUUAUGGUCUUUAACCUUUAACAGUUUGCAAUGGACAUUGAGGCACUUAUUCUUCUAAAGAUUGCUUGGGAACUAGUAAUAACUAAUAAUAUAACUCUCGGAAUAGUUAUACAUUACACAGAGUAACCACUCCAACCUAACAAUAUAGAGAUGUUAAAAAGAAACAAAACGACUUGAGAGGAGCAAGGAUCCCUUCCCCUGCUUAUAAUUCUAGUACUCUGUUGAAAAAAAGUCCCUCUACCGUCUUCCUCCACCAAAGCUGUCAUCUCCAAACCCUCCAAA